CCAUCUCCACCAGAGGUUGAGUGUAAACAGGAUAAAAUAUUGGAUUUAAACUGCUCUCUGAAGUGCACUGACCUCUCUUCAUGCCUAGAGGGCAGCAUCCUCUGGGUGAAAGAAACAGGACAUUUGCUGCUAGAAAACAGAGUUGGGCUGAAGGGAGACAAAAGCUGCAUUUCUGUCCUCACCAUGAAUCUCCUAAUGGGCAACUACAGAAGAUACACCUGCCAGUUUGUUUUGGCAGACAAGGUCAAGACAGAGGUUCACUACACACCUGUCUUCUCAGAUUCCACAGACUGGCCCCCUCUGAGCUACAUCUUGCUGAUUCUGCGCAUCACAGGACUUAUCCUGAUGAUUAGUAUUAUUGCUGUUGUUUCCACCAGAACCAGAGGAAGCUAAAAGCCACUGAAAGACAUCAAUGUGAGUUAAAAACAACUAACUUUAAUGACCAGAAAACAAAAUGGCGACAGCAAAACAUUUCCUACAUGGCAAAUAUAUAUUUCAUCUUGUUGGCUAGGUGAACUAUUUAUUUA